rnacentral:rRNA from 1 species
UACCAGCACCCCGAGUGGUCGGGACGUUUAUUGGGCCUAAAGCAUCCGUAGCCGGUUCUACAAGUCUUCCGUUAAAUCCACCUGCUUAACAGAUGGGCUGCGGAAGAUACUAUAGAGCUAGGAGGCGGGGAGAGGCAAGCGGUACUCGAUGGGUAGGGGUAAAAUCCGUUGAUCCAUUGAAGACCACCAGUGGCGAAGGCGGU